rnacentral:rRNA from 1 species
CCUACGGGUGGCAGAAGUGGGGAAUAUUGGACAAUGGGGGCAACCCUGAUCCAGCCAUGCCGCGUGUGUGAAGAAGGCCCUCGGGUUGUAAAGCACUUUCAGUGAGGAAGAACGCCUGGUGGUUAAUACCCAUCAGGAAAGACAUCACUCACAGAAGAAGCACCGGCUAACUCCGUGCCAGCAGCCGCGGUAAUACGGAGGGUGCGAGCGUUAAUCGGAAUUACUGGGCGUAAAGCGCGCGUAGGUGGCUUGAUAAGCCGGUUGUGAAAGCCCCGGGCUCAACCUGGGAACGGCAUCCGGAACUGUCAAGCUAGAGUGCAGGAGAGGAAGGUAGAAUUCCCGGUGUAGCGGUGAAAUGCGUAGAGAUCGGGAGGAAUACCAGUGGCGAAGGCGGCCUUCUGGACUGACACUGACACUGAGGUGCGAAAGCGUGGGUAGCAAACAGGAUUAGAUACCCCAGUAGUC